AGGGGCCUUGGCCGAGGGGUCCGCGCGCCGGGGCCUCGUCGGAGGGCAAGGGUCGCGCUCCCGCGGGCGCUGAGGGUCCCCAGCCCGCGAGCUGGGCCUGUGCGGGCUUAAGGUUUAAGGAAGACGGGCUCGACCGGCGAGUGGCGCACGCUGCGAGAACCCCAGGCCCACGCUGUCGGUCAGCGCUGGCGGUUUGUGUCCCGGGGUCGGCUCAGCAAGUUUCCUGGGAAUGGGCCCGAAGCGGACAGGGAUUGAGAAACGGAAAUACCACCACCCUCCAGCCAAACUUGUGAGGACUGAUUGCAGGGAAACUGGUGCUCCAGAUGUUGCACUAGAGGCGCUGCAAGUGUGAGCAGGUGGCAUUGGGCCUGCAUCACAGGUUGUAGCAGAUGUUCUCAACAUUUCUAUCGAGACUUCCUUAUAUCCACUUGCAAGAGGAGCCCAAGAGCCUCAUCCCUGUGGUAGCUACCAUUCUCUGAUAUAAGCUGUUGUUCACCAGGGAGCUUUGGCAAGAGAAUUGGCCAGAUCAGCGAGUUCAUCUCCCUUGGGGAAAAACAACGUGAAGCUCAUCUCUGUUGAAGAAUGAUAGUUGUUUUGGUGGAGGGACUGAUUCUAGAGCUUCCUACUCUGCCAUCUUCCAUGACACUGCUCCCUGCCAUGUCCACUCUUAAAAGUGUUCCAGUUUGGAAAAUAAUUUUUUUGGUCACCCAUUGGAUUAAUGGGCAAAACAUGAACUUCACUCUGAAUUUCUCCUGAAAUUUUAAAGUUUACUUUUUCAAGACUCAUUUUGAAUUACAGAGAUCAUCUUCUACCUUAGCCUCUUUUGGGAGGAUUUCCAAAAGAAUCCACUUCAAGGAAACACAGACUUGAAAACUCUCCUCCAUGGUUUUGUCUGAACUGGCUGCCAUUCUGUAGCACACACUGGAUCCAGUUGCUGAAGUGGGGGAACCUGAGAGGUGCGUGAGCUGGCAAGAGUGACCAUUUAGGCGCGUGAGUCAAGUGGGCCUGCGUGAAAGGAUGUAGAUGUACUGUCUGUAGGACAGGGGUAGACUGAAUACCUGCUUCACUGAAUACCUGCUUCACAUCACCUUUCACAUUUUCUUAUUGGAAAGACAGCCGUUGGAGAAUCAUCUUGUUACCAUCAGCAAAAAUGCAAACAAAUCAAGACAUUAAGAAUGCCACAGUGGCCAGCAGUUAAUGAUGCCAGUGUUACACAAGCUUCGGCAAAGUUUUCAAGACAGUGUGCCUCACUAGCCAUAAAUCAGGAAAGAUUGAACUUAUCCUUUUUUGUCUCAGCUGUUCCUUAAAUCAAUGCAACCCCUCCAAAUUAAUGUGAAUUCAAACAUGCAUUGUCUUUUCAGCUUAAUUGAGUACUUACUAUGUGUGAAUCACUGCACAAAAUAGGGGAGGGAAAAUGAGGGAGACAAUUAGGAUGUGUUUCCUGCCUUCAAUGGAUUUACAAUUAGUUUCAGGGCACUUUUUUUCUUCUGCUCUUAAUUAAGUGUGUCCCUAAGAUAGAAAACAAAUGAAUGGAAAAGUGUAUUCUGCAAGUAUUUUAAAUCCCUUUAAUAAAACACAAAACAAAACAAAACAAAACAAAACAAAAUAAUCUAAUGUGGGCAACUCAGGACAUCUUCCAUUUUUUUGGAGUUUCAAUAGGUAGGAUUUAUUUCAUUGAUUUUAUAAAUAUUCAGUAGAUGUUAGAGAUAUUAACACAUUAUAGUUGGAGUUAAUUGAAUUAAAUUUUUUUUUCCCCUUUAGGUGUAGAUUGUCUGUUGGAAAAGUAUAUUGUGUUUGUACAUUUCUUGCAGAGUAGGUAGAUGAAUUACAUCUGUUGUCUCUGUAGGCCUCUACCUUCUGUGCCCUAGGGGCCUGACAUUCUGAGUGAGUUAUUAGCGUGGGGAAGGGAAGAUUUGGAUCAAACUUGGGAAAGCUCAUGGACCCAAGAUAGGGCAGGGAAGGAGCAAAACAGACCUAGGCAGUUACUCUGUAGGAAAACUUGGCUGUUUUAGUGUUCAUUGUGUUGUUUUCUAUGUUCCAAAAUUACUGUACAGUUUUUUCAAAAAUUUAUUUCUGAUCUGGGAAUAAGUCAUGAUUUUUCCAAUGUUAAGGCACUAAUAUGACUGCAGACACUGGACAUUUUAUGUAGUGUAUGUAACACACAUUUUAGUAUGUACGAACCAACAAUAGACAUGUCUUUGUCUUCAGUAGUGUCCAUCUGAAUUGAAAAUGUGCCAGCUUUUUUUUUCUUAAAAUCAUUAUCAACAGACUUCUUAAUUAAGCUGCCAAUACAUACUGCCAAUAGCACUAUGUGCCCUUUGAGAAAUGAAUCGUGUAAGUGCUGUUUCCCUCUUACUGAAUAAACAAUGUUGCUCCAUAGAAAAUGGAUUUAAAAUGUUCUUUGAAUAGGAAAUUAUAUUGCUUCCGAAAGAAUUUGAUAAGAAUUCUCAUACCUUCCUUUCUUUACUUAAUUUCCAAAAACUUUUAUUUGCUCCUCAAUAAGGAAUAGUUCUAAUUUGACUGAUAACUUUAGUUGUAUGAGUCAUCCUUAAUAGGAUGCCUGCCCCCAAACUCCUGAUGGUGAUAUUGGAUAUUUGUUAAUCAGAGUUACAAAACUAUAUUGUAUGAAACUGUAGCAUUUGUUUCCUAUUCUGGGAAAAUCUGUGGAGGGACCAUCUCUGUGUUCCCAGAACCUAGCACAGUACCUGGUGCAUAGUAAGUAUAUGUUGAGUAACAUUUGGUGAUUAAAAUGUGUAAAGUA